rnacentral:rRNA from 1 species
GCAAGUUCAUAAGAGCAAACGGUGAAUGCCUUGGCAUCUGGAGCCGAAGAAGGACGUCGUAAUCUGCGAUAAGCCUCGGGGAGCUGAUAAACGAGCUGUGAUCCGAGGAUUUCCGAAUGGGGAAACCCCGCCAGGCCCCUUGUGGUGACCUGGUGACUCCCGCCUGAAUAUAUAGGGCGGGUAGAGGGAACGUGGGGAAGUGAAACAUCUCAGUACCCACAGGAAGAGAAAACAACAGUGAUUCCGUCAGUAGUGGCGAGCGAACGCGGAAGAGGCUAAACCGAGUCAUGUGUGAUACCCGGCAGGGGUUGCAUGGCCGGGGUUGUGGGACUUUUCGUUCCGGUCUGCCGGCCGGUGAACGUUACAGCGCAUCAUAGACGAACAGGUUUGAACGCCUGGCCAGAGCGGGUGCGAGCCCCGUAGUCGAAAUGGUGUUAUGGCGUGAAGAGUAUCCCAAGUAGCACGGGGCCCGAGAAAUCCCGUGUGAAUCUGUCAGGACCACCUGAUAAGCCUAAAUACUCCCAGAUGACCGAUAGCGGACAAGUACCGUGAGGGAAAGGUGAAAAGUACCCCGGGAGGGGAGUGAAAUAGUACCUGAAACCGUUUGCUUACAAACCGUCGGAGCCUCCUUGUAGGGGUGACGGCGUGCCUUUUGAAGAAUGAGCCUGCGAGUUAGUGCUCUGUGGCGAGGUUAACCCGUGUGGGGCAGCCGUAGCGAAAGCGAGUCCGAAUAGGGCGAUUCAGUCGCAGGGUCUAGACCCGAAGCGAAGUGAUCUAUCCAUGGCCAGGUUGAAGCGACGGUAAGACGUCGUGGAGGACCGAACCCACUUCAGUUGAAAAUGGAGGGGAUGAGCUGUGGAUAGGGGUGAAAGGCCAAUCAAACUUCGUGAUAGCUGGUUCUCUCCGAAAUGCAUUUAGGUGCAGCGUUGCGUGUUUCUUGCCGGAGGUAGAGCUACUGGAUGGCCGAUGGGGCCCAAAAGCUUACUGACGUCAGCCAAACUCCGAAUGCCGGUAAGUGAGAGCGCAGCAGUGAGACUGUGGGGGAUAAGCUUCAUAGUCGAGAGGGAAACAACCCAGACCACCAACUAAGGUCCCUAAGCGCGUGCUAAGUGGGAAAGGAUGUGGAGUUGCACAGACAACCAGGAGGUUGGCUUAGAAGCAGCCACCCUUGAAAGAGUGCGUAAUAGCUCACUGGUCAAGUGAUUCCGCGCCGACAAUGUAACGGGGCUCAAGCACGCCACCGAAGUUGUGGCAUUGACAUUAGUGGUAGGCCUUCGUGGUCCAGCCGUGUUGAUGGGUAGGAGAGCGUCGUGUGGCGAGUGAAGCGGCGGUGUGAACCAGCCGUGGAUGCCACACGAGUGAGAAUGCAGGCAUGAGUAGCGAAAGACGGGUGAGAAACCCGUCCUCCGGAAGACCAAGGGUUCCAGGGUCAAGCUAAUCUUCCCUGGGUAAGUCGGGACCUAAGGCGAGGCCGACAGGCGUAGUCGAUGGACAACGGGUUGAUAUUCCCGUACCGGCGAAGAACCGCCCAAGACAAUCCAGUAGUGCUAAGUAUCUGAAUCCCUUUGAUGGAUCCCUUCGGGGUGAAGCGUUGGGCCUAGCGUACGACCCCGUGCUGGUGCGUUUAGCGUAUUAACAGGUGUGACGCAGGAAGGUAGCCGAGCCGGGCGAUGGUUGUCCCGGUCUAAGGAUGUAGGGCGAACGAUAGGCAAAUCCGUCGUUCAUAAAGCCUGAGAUCUGAUGGGUAGACGCAAGUCGAAAUCGGUGAUCCUAUGCUGCCAAGAAAAGCAUCGACGCGAGGUUCUAGCUGCCCGUACCCCAAACCGACUCAGGUGGUCAGGUAGAGAAUACUAAGGAGAUCGAGAGAAUCGUGGUUAAGGAACUCGGCAAAAUGCCCCCGUAACUUCGGGAGAAGGGGGGCCUGAGGCGUGAACGGACUUGCUCCGGGAGCGUUCGAUGGCCGCAGAGACCAGUGGGAAGCGACUGUUUACUAAAAACACAGGUCCGUGCUAAGUCGCAAGACGAUGUAUACGGACUGACGCCUGCCCGGUGCUGGAAGGUUAAGAGGAACGGUUAGCCGCAAGGCGAAGCUGAGAAUUUAAGCCCCAGUAAACGGCGGUGGUAACUAUAACCAUCCUAAGGUAGCGAAAUUCCUUGUCGGGUAAGUUCCGACCUGCACGAAUGGCGUAACGACUUCCCAGCUGUCUCAACCGCGAACUCGGCGAAAUUGCAUUACGAGUAAAGAUGCUCGUUACGCGCAGCAGGACGGAAAGACCCCGUGACCUUUACUAUAGUUUGGUA